GCGGGUGUGGCGGAAUUGGUAGACGCCCCGGAUUUAGGUUCCGGUGUCGCAAGACGUAAGGGUUCAAAUCCUUUCACCCGCACCA
rnacentral:tRNA from 1 species